AAAAGAAAAGAAAAGAAAAGAAAAGAAAAGAAAAGAAAAGAAAAGAAAAGGAGUUACAGCCCAUCUGAGCACCUGAAGGCUGGCCUCAGAGGCAAAACCCACAUUGUUUAAUGUGUUGUGUUAUUUUAGGGCACACCUAUGACAUUUAAGAGGCACAUUUUUAAGACUAACCUCAGUGGCAGAAAUCUUCUUUUCUGUAGCAUGGAGUCCUUUGCCCAAGGACAGCACUGUCAGAAGGACACCCACUGCAAUCUGGCCAAAUCCAGGUGAUAGCUGGAGAUUUUCUCAGAAUAAGAAAGCCCCACAAGUUUUGGGAUCCAUUGAUGAUGUAUGGUUUGUAUUAUCUUUAGAAAAGACACACUACCAGGGAAAAAUAUUGUAUAUCAUCUCAGCAGGGGACUUGGAGCUGUUUAGCACUAUGUAAUUGGAUCUAGGACUAAUCCUUAACUUUGAUGAGGCCAAGAGGAGCUACACUACUGCUAUUUCCAGCACAUUAAUGAUAGACAAAAUGCUUAAA
rnacentral:lncRNA from 1 species